CAGUCGCCACGGUAAAACGAAGGGUGCAAGCGUUAAUCGGAAUUACUGGGCGUAAAGCGUGCGUAGGCGGUUUGUUAAGUCUGCUGUGAAAUCCCCGGGCUCGACCUGGGAAUGGCAGUGGAUACUGGCAAGCUAGAGUGCGUCAGAGGAUGGUGGAAUUCCCGGUGUAGCGGUGAAAUGCGUAGAGAUCGGGAGGAACAUCAGUGGCGAAGGCGGCCAUCUGGGACAACACUGACGCUGAGGCACGAAAGCGUGGGGAGCAAACAGGAUUAGAUACCCGUGUAGUCCCUGUCUCUUAUAC
rnacentral:rRNA from 1 species